rnacentral:rRNA from 1 species
AGUGAACGCUGACGGUAGGCCUAACACAUGCAAGUCGAACGGCAGCACAGUAAGAGCUUGCUCUUACGGGUGGCGAGUGGCGGACGGGUGAGGAAUACAUCGGAAUCUACUUUUUCGUGGGGGAUAACGUAGGGAAACUUACGCUAAUACCGCAUACGACCUACGGGUGAAAGCAGGGGAUCUUCGGACCUUGCGCGAUUGAAUGAGCCGAUGUCGGAUUAGCUAGUUGGCGGGGUAAAGGCCCACCAAGGCGACGAUCCGUAGCUGGUCUGAGAGGAUGAUCAGCCACACUGGAACUGAGACACGGUCCAGACUCCUACGGGAGGCAGCAGUGGGGAAUAUUGGACAAUGGGCGCAAGCCUGAUCCAGCCAUACCGCGUGGGUGAAGAAGGCCUUCGGGUUGUAAAGCCCUUUUGUUGGGAAAGAAAAGCAGCAGGUUAAUACCCCGCUGCUCUGACGGUACCCAAAGAAUAAGCACCGGCUAACUUCGUG